CAGAUGCACACUAGCACACAACAAUAAGGGGCCAUCCACACGGAGACGCUUUUUGAUGCAAACGCACAUGUUUUGCAUCGUUUGGGCCGAUCGUCCAAACAAAUAGGCUCCCUUUUGGCUUCGUUUGGACGGCGAAGCCGCAUACGUGCGUAUCGAUGAUGUCAUCGCCACACCCCUCGACCUCUUACCCCGCACUAGCUAGUGCACGGCCACUGACACGACUGCGGUGAAGCUAACCAUAUCCCAUCUACAUGGUUAAACCAGCUCACUUCAUCUAAAUACUUUGUCUCUGAUCCCUGACACUUCCCUCUGCUCUGCUGGUCCUGGAUUCUACAUAAGAUAUAUUGCCAACGUUAUGUAGCUAACGUUAA